GUGCCAGCCGCCGCGGUAAUACGGGGGGAGCGAGCGUUAUUCGGAUUCACUGGGCGUAAAGGGUUCGUAGGCGGUCAAGUAAGUCAGGGGUGAAAUCUAACGGCUUAACCGUUAAACUGCCCUUGAAACCGCUUGACUUGAGGACAUGAGAGGAAAGCGGAAUUCUUGGUGUAGCGGUGAAAUGCGUGGAUAUCAAGAGGAACACCGGUGGCGAAGGCGGCUUUCUGGCAUGUUACUGACGCUGAGGAACGAAAGUCAGGGGAGCGAACGGGAUUAGAAACCCGAGUAGUCC
rnacentral:rRNA from 1 species